UUUUCAACAUGACAGACGACAGACCAUGAGCACGAAGGUGGCUUUGCCAGGCCGAGGCUUAUCCAUUGCACUCCGGAUGUGCUGACACUUGUUCCCCACAUCCCCACAUGUGGGAACCUCGACUACGUGGUUUGUGAUAUUGGGGGACUGUGUUCGUGCUCUCUCCUG
rnacentral:snRNA from 1 species